AUUGAACGCUGGCGGCAGGCCUAACACAUGCAAGUCGAACGAGUGGCGGACGGGCGAGUAAUGUCUGGGAAACUGCCUGAUGGAGGGGGAUAACUACUGGAAACGGUAGCUAAUACCGCAUACCAUCGGAUGUGCCCAGAUGGGAUUAGCUAGUAGGUGGGGUAAAGGCGCACCUAGGCGACGAUCCCUAGCUGGUCUGAGAGGAUGACCGGCCACACUGGAACUGAGACACGGUCCAGACUCCUACGGGAGGCAGCAGUGGGGAAUAUUGCGCAAUGGGCGCAAGCCUGAUGCAGCAAUGCCGCGUGAAUGAAGAAGGUCUGCGGGUUGUAAAGUACUGUCAGCGGGGAGGCGUUAUCCAAAGAAGAAGCAACGGCUAACUCCGUGCCAGCAGCCGCGGUAAUUC
rnacentral:rRNA from 1 species